rnacentral:rRNA from 1 species
AGUGAACGCUGGCGGCGUGCCUAAUACAUGCAAGUCGAACGAGUGGCGCACGGGUGAGUAAUGUAUAGCUAAUCUGCCCUACACUAGAGGACAACAGUUGGUAACGACUGCUAAUACUCUAUAGUGGAGGAUGAGGCUAUAUUGUAUCAGCUAGUUGGUGAGGUAUUGGCUCACCAAGGCUAUGACGUAUAACUGGUCUGAGAGGAUGAUCAGUCACACUGGAACUGAGGCACCGUCCAGAAUCCUUGGGUAGGCAGCAGUAGGGAAUAGUGCUCAAUGGGGGUGACCCUGGAGGGGCAACGCCGCGUGGAGGAUGACACGUUUCGGAGCGUAAACUCCUUUUGUUAGGGAAGCGGUACCUGACGAAGAAGCACCGGCUAACUCCGUGCCAGCAGCCGCGGUAAUUC